CGUGGAGGCUCAUGCCAGUAAUCCCAGCACUUCGGGAGACCGAGGUGGGUGGAUCACUUGAGAUCAGAAGUUUGAGACCAGCCUGGCCAACAUGGUGAAACCCUCUCUCUACUAAAAAUAUAAACAGAUUAGCUGGGCGUGGUGAUGUAUGUCUGAAAUCCCAGCUACUCAGGAGACUGAGGCAUGAGAAUCACUUGAACCUGGGAGGCAGAGUUUGUAGUGAGCAGAGAUCACCCCUGUAUACGCCCACCUGGGUGACAGAGUGAGACUCUGUUUUAAAAAAGGAAAUAAAAAUUAAAGAAGUAAAUAAAUAAAUGAUGGCUUAUUUCAUAAUAGUUAUGACUUUGUAAAGCUUUUAAAUCUGCUUUACCCAGAGUCUAGCUUUUAAAUAAAAUCUAGGAUAUAAAAGGUGGGAGCCUCUUGAAUGGAAUGUGGGGGCUUUUUCUCUCUCCCCGUAGGAUAGAUAUAUUCUGUUUCUUGUCCCCCAUUGAGUCAAGAAUAAUUUAACUUUUGGCAUAAGAAACUGCUGAAGAAAAAUAGGUUGAAUAAGCUAACAUUUUUCUUCUUUUUGCAGGAUAUAGAAGACUUAGAUCACUACGAGAUGAAAGCGGAGCCCAUUAGUGGGAAAAAGUUGGAGGAUGAAGGAAUUGAAAAAGAAAAUUUGGCAAUAUUAGAGAAAUUAGGAAGACUGAAAGGGUUGACCCUGAUAGUCCUUUGCACAGUGAUCUUCAGAUCUUAAAAGAAAAAGAAGGCUAGGAGAUAUUUUGCUUAACUUAUCUUUUAAGAAACUGUUGUGGUUGUCAACUGGGUUGUCUUCCUGAAGUAUGAAUCCGGUAUGUAUUGCCUGAAUUUGCUAAUGGCUACUUCUUUACGGAUUCAUAUGGGGUAACGAAUAAAGCACGCAGGCCUAAAACAAAAAAAGAAAAUACAAAAAAACUAGGAAGGUAUCUUUCUUUUUUAAAACAUUAAAUCAUACAUCCAUAUGCCCAACACCAAACUUAAGAAAUAGAACCUUUGGCUGGGCGUGGUGGCUCACGCCUGUAAUCCUAGCACUUUGGGAAGCCAAGGCAGGCAGAUCACCUGAGGUCAGGAGUUUGAGAGCAGCCUGGCCAACAUGGUGAAACCCCGUCUCUACUAAAAAUACAAAAAUAUUAGCCGGGCAUGGUGGCAGGUGCCUGUAAUGUAACCCCCGCUUCAUGGGAGGCUGAGGU
rnacentral:lncRNA from 1 species